UACCAGACUCCUACGGGAGGCAGCAGUGGGGAAUAUUGCACGAUGGGGGAAACCCUGAUGCAGCAACGCCGCGUGAAGGAAGACGGUUUUCGGAUUGUAAACUUCUGUUCUUAGUGAAGAAGAAUGACGGUAGCUAAGGAGCAAGCCACGGCUAACUACGUGCCAGCAGCCGCGGUAAUACGUAGGUGGCAAGCGUUGUCCGGAAUUACUGGGUGUAAAGGGUGCGCAGGCGGAAGAUCAAGUCAGCGGUAAAAUUGAGGGGCUCACCCUCUGCGAGCCGUUGAAACUGGUUUUCUUGAGUGAGCGAGAAGUAUGCGGAAUGCGUGGUGUAGCGGUGAAAUGCAUAGAUAUCACGCAGAACUCCGAUUGCGAAGGCAGCAUACCGGCGCUCAACUGACGCUCAUGCACGAAAGUGUGGGUAUCGAACAGGAUUAGAUACCCCUGUAA
rnacentral:rRNA from 1 species